rnacentral:rRNA from 1 species
UACGGAGGGUGCAAGCGUUGUUCGGAAUCACUGGGCGUAAAGCGCGUGUAGGCGGCCUUUUAAGUCUGAUGUGAAAGCUCGGGGCUUACCCCCGGAAGUGCAUUGGAGACUGGGAGGCUAGAGUACCGGAGAGGAAGGUGGAAUUCCUGGUGUAGCGGUGAAAUGCGUAGAUAUCAGGAGGAACACCGGUGGCGAAGGCGGCCUUCUGGACUGCUCCUGACGCUGACACGCGAAAGCUAGGGGAGCGAACGGG